rnacentral:lncRNA from 1 species
GUGAAGCCUGGAUUCCUCCUCAGUAGAUAAUAUCUUUGUGCUAACAGUCUUGGGCUUCUGGGACACAUUCUGCUCUGAUUUACUGUGCUUUUAGUAGCUUUGUAAAGGGUCAGUCAGCAUUGUUUGUGCCCAUGUGCUAUGACUGCUUAGUGAUGGCCAUUGAAGCAUCAUCAGAGGGGGCCAAAUAUACUUCUCAAAAGACACUUACAUGGAUCAUUUUAAUUUGUUAAGGAGCCUUGAAUUUGUCUGUGAGUGCUACAGCUCUGCAGUCCUGCAUUCUGCAAGAAAGGAUCUCACCUUCAGAUUAUGAACCAGAUGAGGAUUACAGACAUUGAAUAAAAAUCUUUGCCGUGUGUGAAAUGGAGUUCUUCGAGGCUGUAUCUUUUAAUGGCUGAGAGGACA